GGUUCCGUAGCUCAGUGGAUGAGAGCACACGGUUGCGAGCCGUGGGGUCGCAGGUUCGAGUCCUGCCGGGACCG
rfam:Hyalangium minutum strain DSM 14724 contig_7, whole genome shotgun sequence.